UACGGAGGAUCCAAGCGUUAUCCGGAUUUAUUGGGUUUAAAGGGUGCGUAGGCGGUUUAUUAAGUCAGUGGUGAAAGCCCGGAGCUCAACUUCGGAACUGCCAUUGAUACUGAUAGACUUGAGUACAGAUGAAGUGGGCGGAAUGUGACAAGUAGCGGUGAAAUGCUUAGAUAUGUCACAGAACACCGAUUGCGAAGGCAGCUCACUAAAAGUGUAACUGACGCUGAGGCACGAAAAGCGUGGGGAGUCAAACAGGA
rnacentral:rRNA from 1 species